rnacentral:rRNA from 1 species
AUGAACGCUGGCGGCGUGCCUCACACAUGCAAGUCGAGCGGCAGCGAGGGGUGCUUGCACCCUGUCGGCGAGCGGCGGACGGCUGAGUAACGCGUGGGAACGUGCCCCAAAGUGAGGAAUAACUGCCCGAAAGGGUAGCUAAUACCGCAUAUUAUCUUCGGAUCAAAGGAUUUAUCCGCUUUGGGAGCGGCUCGCGUCGGAUUAGGUAGUUGGUGAGGUAAUGGCUCACCAAGCCGACGAUCCGUAGCUGGUCUGAGAGGAUGACCAGCCAGACUGGAACUGAGACACGGUCCAGACUCCUACGGGAGGCAGCAGUGAGGAAUCUUCCACAAUGGGCGAAAGCCUGAUGGAGCAACGCCGCGUGCAGGACGAAGGCCUUCGGGUUGUAAACUGCUUUUAUAAGUGAGGAAUAUGACGGUAACUUAUGAAUAAGGAUCGGCUAACUACGUG